CCGGGCCGCCCCGCUCCCGCCGGUCCUCGUCUGCCCACCCUCCCCAGCCUCCACCCCGUGCCCUCACCGUUGCGGCAGACGGCGGGCUGCGGGCAGAGCGGGCUGUUGCAGGGCACGCUGGGCCGCAGGCAAGGAGACCAAAGUACAGGAGGAUUGAAUAAUUGCCCCAGGCCACACACUCAAGCAAGACUUGGAACCCAAGGAGUUUGGUUACAGAGUCCAGGCAGUAAUGACCCAGCCAUGCCACCUUUCUGCGGUAAACGGCCAGUUGCGUUUGCUCCAGCUGCCUACGACAAGCAAUCCUUCAUGACCGCACGAAUGCCUUCCAUCACUGUGCCCAUGUCACUUCUCUCUCUAGCCUGUCCUUUCCAUUCUCUUCACUGUUUAUCAAACUCUACUCAUGGAUUUAGGCUCGGCUUAGGCUCACCACUUCCCCCAAACCUUCCCAGAUAACCUCCCCAGGCAAGAUGCAUAUGUUUGUCCUCUGGGCUCCUGUGUACCUGGGUUGCAGAAUAUCUCUAUCUCAUGUGUUACAGAAGGUGUCGUUCUAGGUGCUGGAUAUAUGGUGGCAAACAAAACAAAGUCCCUUUCCUGGCUGACCUUGUGUUCUACUGGACACAGGGGCCACAGGCCUUUCAGCAUUGCUGGAGGACCCAGUGCAGAGCACGGAGUGAUGGUGGAGGAAGCUGAAGAGGAGGAGGACAGUUUGUUUUACGUGGAAGAGUUGAGUUGAUACCCUACCUACUUCCACAAAGGACCUGAGGCACAUAAAAAGGUAAGGAUUUGCCAAAUCAAACUACCACUGGGCAGGAGUCCCCGACCCCGUCCUGAGGAGGAGAUUCUUCUGCUUCCCCCAGAGGCUCUUGGUUGCUGCAGGGAGACUGCCAACACUGCUGGAGAAAAGAGGCUGCUCCUGGACCCUGUGUACUCCUAGAAAUCCCCUUGGGUUGAUUCAGUAAUUGGAUUUUGACUCAAGGCUGUGAGUGGAGAGCCUGGUACAUAGUGAGAACCUCAUAAAUGUUUGUUGAAUGAAAACAUGAGGGUGAUGACUUUAUCUGUAAAAUAAAGGAGUGGCUAAUCCCUCUGAGCUUUGACUUCAGCCUAAGAAUGAGUGGCAUUAUGAACUUCCUGGAAAGUAAGAUGGUUCCUAUACCAACACCCUGCUCAAUUUAAGUCAAAGGACAAAAUGUCACAAGUAAAACCAUGUGCCUGGGCUUCCCUGGUGGCGCAGUGGUUAAG